rnacentral:misc_RNA from 1 species
GAUGAAGAACGUAGCGAAAUGCGAUACGUAAUGUGAAUUGCAGAAUUCAGUGAAUCAUCGAAUCUUUGAACGCACAUUGCGCCUGCCAGCACUCUGGCAGGCAUGCCUGUUCGAGCGUCAUUUCAACCAUCAAGCCCUAGGCUUGCGUUGGAGCCCUGCGGCUGCCGCAGGCCCCUAAAAGCAGUAGCGGGCUCGCUAUCACACCGAGUGCAGUAGAUUACUCUUCGCUCAGGGCGUGUGGCGGGUUCCAGCCGUGAAACCCCCUACUUCUCAAGGUUGACCUCGGAUCAGGUAGGAAUACCCGCUGAACUUAAGCAUAUCAAUAAGCGGAGGA